rnacentral:rRNA from 1 species
UACGGAGGGUGCAGGCGUUAUCCGGAUUCACUGGGUUUAAAGGGUGCGUAGGAGGGUAGGUAAGUCAGUGGUGAAAUCUUCGAGCUUAACUCGGAAACUGCCGUUGAUACUAUCUAUCUUGAAUACCGUGGAGGUGAGCGGAAUAUGUCAUGUAGCGGUGAAAUGCUUAGAUAUGACAUAGAACACCAAUUGCGAAGGCAGCUCGCUACACGAAUAUUGACUCUGAGGCACGAAAGCGUGGGGAUCAAACAGG